UUAGUUAAAACCAAAAAGAGGUAUAUUAUUGUUAAUAAUAAAAAUGAAUUAAUAUCUAACUAAA
rnacentral:tRNA from 1 species